rnacentral:rRNA from 1 species
UGGGGAAUCUUCCGCAAUGGACGAAAGUCUGACGGAGCAACGCCGCGUGAGUGAAGAAGGUUUUCGGAUCGUAAAAACUCUGUCUUUUGGGGCGAACGUGAGUAUGGUGAACAAUCAUAGUCAGUGACGGUACCAAAGGAGGAAGCCACGGCUAACUACGUGCCAGCAGCCGCGGUAAUACGUAGGUGGCAAGCGUUGUCCGGAAUUAUUGGGCGUAAAGAGCGCGUAGGCGGGAUAGUCAGUCUGUUGUAAAGUGCGGGGCUCAACCCCGUGAUGGCAAUGGAAACAGCUAUUCUUGAGUGCAGGAGAGGAAAGUGGAAUUCCCAGUGUAGCGGUGAAAUGCGUAGAUAUUGGGAGGAACACCAGUGACGAAGGCGACUUUCUGGAUUGUGUCUGACGCUGAGGCGCGAAAGCCAGGGGAGCGAACGGGAUUAGAUACCCCGGUAGUCCUGGCCGUAAACGAUGGGUACUAGGUGUGGGGGGUAUCGACCCCCUUCCGUGCCGGAGUUAACGCAAUAAGUACCCCGCCUGGGGAGUACGGUCGCAAGACUGAAACUUAAGGAAUUGACGGGGGUCAUAGCUGUUUCCUG